GCUGAAUCUUAAAAAAUCAUAGUAAAUGACAAUUUUCUUGUACUCUACAUGAGUAGAUAUACAUAGUGAAUAUAUAAUAUGGUAUGGUUUAGUCCAACAAAAUAAUUAUAGAAGCCACAACUAUGAAUUAUUUUAAUUAAUUACAGAAAAACAUAGAUCUAAAUCUACAACACAAAAUUUGUACUAAAGUAUACCAUAUUAUAUAUUCACUGUGUAGAUAUGCUCAUGUGAAGUCUAAUAAAAUUUGAUUUUAAAUUUUAUGAUUUUUCUGUAAUUUACUAUAAUUUUUAAAAAAAUUUAGCCAAAAUAAAUUAAAAAGGAAAGACAAAACCUUCAUAGCAAAAACUUUAUACUAAAGUAUACAAUAUUAUAUAUUCACAACGUAAAUCUAUUUAUGUGGAGUCUAACAAAAUUAAAAAUUUUAUUUUAUAUAUUUUUGUGAUUUACUAUGAUUUUUUCAAAGUUUUGGUCGAAAGAAAUAAAAAAAGAAAAAGACAAAACCACCGCUACUGUAGCAAACCACCAUUCACUGUAGCAAAACUGUCUUCAAAAUCACUCAAGAGAGGUAAAAUGCACGGUUUAAAAAAUUAAGAGAGAGAUUUUCCCGAUUUUAGUGUUGAGAGAGAAAAAACGACUAUCGCAUAAGUUAAGGAGAAAAAGUAGACUUUUUCCUUUUUCAAAAAAAGAUUCCCAACAUAAUACGAUUCGGCCC
rnacentral:lncRNA from 1 species